rnacentral:lncRNA from 1 species
AGAGUGGAUGCUGUGAUGUUGGGGGAGUUAUUUUGAAAUUUUUUAAUUACAGUUGUUUGCAUACAACUGCAAUUUUGCUUUCUCAAAUCUGCUACCUUCUGAAAGCUUGAAGUCUCUGUUUGUGCCUUUUAGCCAUGCUGGCAAUACAAAUGGACAAUUAUGGGAUGAGAAUUGUGGUUUUCUGCUGCCGCAGCCACCCCUCAAGAUAGGACUAGUUUUUGAUGGAAUGUGUUUGAUUUUUAAUUGUAUUUCCCAGGGGACACUAUGGCAGCACACCAAUGCUCUGUGAAGCCCAGAUUUAUGCGUAACCCUUUACAGUAUGCAGAACCUGUCGCUUUAAGAUACAGACGUUAAACAGCAAUUGUAACACCUUCCCCUUUGUGAAUGAAUUUGAUUUCCUUAGAGGUCUGGCUAGAAUGAGUUUGGAGAAUUCUUCUGGUUUGUAUAUUUAGUCCAAGGUGUUUUGUUGCUGUUGGCUGUUUGCUUUAUGUAUUUAGACAGUGGCUUUUUAAUUUUUUUCUUUUAAAUUGUCCAGUAAAGGCAAAUUUUUCUUUUUCCACAGUGCUAUCUGUUUUCCAACAUUCCAAAAAAAGAACUGCCACUUGGACCACCGAUCAGUUUUUCCAUCUUUCUUCAGAACUAUACAUGAUGAAGAAACCUUCAUACAUCUUAACUUCCACAGAAAGGAACAUCAAUGACACCAUUUGUUACCUUUGCUUUACUACCGGGCUGGUAAAAGUCAAGAUCAAUCGACUCCUUUAAUAUAUCUACCAUGCAGAGAUGCUGCAGCCAACAUGCAAGAAGAGAUACUGUUGGAAUUACAUCACUCUCUGGCCUCUUUGUGAAAUGGGAACUGUAAAAAAUGAGGGCUAAACCUCCCAGCUUCUCCCGCCCUUUUCCAAGAUGUUGAAAGAGAUAAGGAAGUUAGUAAUUCGAUAUUAUGAAUCUGAGUACAUAACACAGAAACAUAUUUCAAGUUACAGGUAAAGAAAGAAUUCACAUUUCUAAUUUUUGUAAAGGUCAAUCAUGGCCAGUGAUAUUGUACAAUAGUCUCUCUCUCUCUCUCUCUCUCUCUCUCUCACACACACACACACACACACACACACACACACACACACACACAGAGAGAGAGAGUGUGGCAACUGAAAAGGAUGAGCCUUUACUAUAAGGGCCACUAGGUGGCAGUGGGGGCAUUGUGGCAUUCAUCUUCUCCACCUAGACUGCUGGUGGAGGAGUGACAAGCUUAGUUUUUACAGGCCUGAGACAAACACCUGCAGAGUGCUUUCGAAAUUAAACCGCGGGCUGGGUGAUAUCAGACCAAGAGCUCAGGUUGCCCCCGUGUGACUUUUGGCUUCCAACACUACCAGCCCUUAACUCUCCACUAUUUCUUGAUCAUACUGCUGCUCUGAAAACAAUGAUUUAUGCAUCAAGCAAAUCCUCAUAUGAGUAAGACAGGACCUUGCAGGAAAGGGAUAAAUGAAGGCAGGAAUUGGUGUCUGAAUGGUACAGCAUGAUCUCUUGUAAGUACAGUAUUAGACUGAACAGGGUGUGAGAUAGGGAGGCACCACAUAAGUCUUCACUGUAUGUUAGAGGCUAAUACAUCAUUCUUGUUGAAAUCGUAUUAGAGUUUUGAAGGUUUGAUUCCAACAGGCCUCUGGGUCUGAGCAAUUAGACAUAGAGUGCAUCUACAAAUAAUAUAGAUUUCCUCCACUGAAACAGGCAAAUUUGAAGUAUUUUUUUUACUGACUGCAUAAUACAAAGG